UUCUCCAAAUCUCUGUGCAUUACUGCUUUGUCUCCAGUCGAUUCCAGAUAAAAUGAAGGAAAUGUGUCUCAGAGGAGUGAAGAGGUGUGUGCUGACACCAUCUUUUCUGAGCAAUGCCUCAGAGAUUAGCUCAGACUUUAUCCCUUCCCUAACAGCAGCACUGGUUGUAGGCAACAUUCACAGUAGCCCAGACCUAUGGGUUUGAUCUGCUUAAACUGUAAUUUGUACAACCCACUUUGGGAAGAACGGUAUGUCUUCCUGGAAAACACUCCAUUUCCCUUCCCUUCUCAAAGGCACACUGGUGAGGAGGUGACUAAAUGCUGCCACAGGAGGGAGAAAAACAAACAGGAAAGAAUUAAAAGGCCUUCGGAUAGGGCUGGAAAGCAAAAGGCAUAAAUUAUUCAGCUCUUCCCCUCCCUGAACCCUCUCGCAGCCAGCACAUGCACACCACCUCCCUUCUGGACGAGCCUUUGGCAUGAGCAGCGGAUCGCACUAAUGCUCCAUCCCAUUCCGCAGCGGAGCAGCGCUUGGCAGGAGGAGGCAGGAGACUCCCUCAGGAGAACUUUGUGAGAACAUAGCUGCACAGCUGAACUAGGACAUCAGUGCUGCUGAUUAGGAAAUACACUGCUCCCAAAACAGCCCCCUGGAGCUGGGUGUACAAGCACAGCAUGGAGAAGGCAGGAAAAUGAACCCACAUGGAAUGCUCUGAGAAUUUACAGACUGCUCCUCAGAAUGGCACAAAAACAACACAUACACUGUUUUCUCUGGGACUGGACAGCCUAGGAUCUCUUUUUCUCUUUCAAA